rnacentral:ncRNA from 1 species
AAAUAGUUUUAUUUAUGUUAAUUAAUUUAAUAAAAUAAAAUUUUACAUAUAAAUAUAUUUUGAAAAUGAUUUUUAAUUUUUAAAAAAUUAUUGUUUUUAUAAAAUUUUUAAAUUUUUAUAGUAGUAAUUAAUAUUAUAAUUUUAAUUUAUGUUAAAAUAUAGUUAUUAUUGUUUUAUUAUUGAUAAAAUUUGUGCCAGCAAUCGCGGUUACACAAAUAAUAUAAUUAAAUUUUUUUGUUAAAAGUUAAAAUUUUAUUUUUAAAAAAUUAAUAGUAAAUUUUUAAGUGAAAUUUAAAUUUUAUUAAUAAAUUUUAUUUAUUAUAUUUUUGAAACUUAGAAAAUUUAUUAUUAAACUAGGAUUAGAUACCCUAUUAUUUAAAAUAUUAAUUUUAUUAUUAUUUAGGUAGUAUUAAUUAAUUUUUUAAAACUUAAAAAAUUUGGCGGUAUUUUAUUCUGUUUAGAGGAACUUGUUUUGUAAAUGAUAAUCCACAAAUAUUUUUACUUAUUUUUGUUUUCAGUUUAUAUAUCGUUGUCAUCAGGAUAUUUUUAAAGAAUAAUAAAAAUUCAAAAUUUAUAAUUAUUAAUUAUGUCAAAUCAAGGUAUAAUUUAUAAAUAAGAAAUAAUGAGUUACAAUAAAUUUUAUUUACAAAUUUAUGAAAAUUUUUUUGAAAAAAAGAAUUGAAGGUGGAUUUAAAAGUAAAUUAAUUAAUAAAUAUUAAUUGAUUAAAGUUUUAAAAUAUGCACAUAUCGCCCGUCGCUUUCGUUAUAUAUAAAAAAUAAAUAAAUGAAAUAAGUCGUAACAUAGUAGAAGUACUGGAAAGUGUUUCUAGAAAUAC